rnacentral:miRNA from 1 species
UAUAGUUAAGAAUGAUGAAUUAGGAAUGAUGAACGAUGAAUUGCGAUGCGUCAGCCCAUUCAUCGUUCAUCAUUCCUAAUUCAUCAUUCAAA